AAAACUCACCAGCAGCCAGGAGCACAAAGGAGGAGCCUAACAAUGUAAAGCUUCAGCUGAGAGGCAAGGAGGUGCCUGUGUCCAGCUGAGUCUGAGCAGGAGGCUCAGCAGGGAAUUGCCCUUCACAGGGCAGCACAAAGGGAAUCGAUUUUCUCUCCUGUGCUGUAGCAUCCACAGGUGAAGCCAAGCAAUCAGGACACAGUGUUUGAGUGGAUGGCUGUUUUCUGCCUGGGCCUAUUGAAAGAAGGCACUUGUGACCCUUCCUGAUGAAGAGACGUGGAUCACAGUGCUUGGUAGGAAUUGUACUUGUGUUUGAAAACAUUUGCUGUGUAGUAUGCCAGAUAACCACGUGUGGAGAGCAGCCUGCUUGCUGUCAUCACUUGCUACUGUUUGUUCAGUUAUCUGUACUCUCCAUAGGCCAGUUUUGGGGUUAUCAGGGGAACAUUCCCAGCUUGUUUCCACGAACUUCCUUUCAUGCAAUAGAAGAGGAAGAAGUGAGGCUGUAAAAGAAUCAGUGGUGAGACUCAGGGCAAGCACAGUAACUCAAAUUACAUCCAGUUCCUUUGUCUGAAAUUUCUGUGAUACCAGGUAUGCAACACCACCUCACCUGAACUCACCAGCCAUCAUAUUGAAUAUUAAUGUCAUCUGCUUGGAAAUCAGUCUCAUCUCACCUGAGGCAUCCACAGUGUCUUGUGGCUCUUCAGGAAAUGGUAACAAGCUGAGAAACGCUUGUACCCUCCCUUCAGCAGGAGCACGGGGUGGCGGGUGAAGUGCUCCAGGUUUUUGGCAUGGAGGAAGGCAUCUCCUCCCUCUGCACCUAAAGACACCAAAGAGCUGUUUGCCUGGGCAGGUUCAGUGUCUCCAUCUCCUGACAUCCACAGCAAACCCCUUUGCAUUCCAUCUAAUGCUCUGGAGAAAACUUUGUUAAAAUUUCAAUUUAUUCUUUACUUGUUGCUGCAGGACAGUUACAGGGGGUGCUGCUUUUCCCCUCUCAUCCUGAUCUUUUAUUCCUCUCCUGGUUUCUUUUCUAGGACCAGAUUUCUUUUCCUCUCCCCGUUUUUCUUUGGGAAAUGCUUGUAAUAAGUUUCCAUAAUAGGGAAGUUUUAUUAAUUUAAAUUUAAUAAUCUUAGCUUUAUGGAGGCCCUUUUCUUUAGUCUGCUUUAGGCAAACAGGAAAAAAAGGAAGUGUGUUAAUUAAAUUCUUCACAAAUGUUUUAAACACCCCCCUCAGUGAGGUGGAUUACGUGAGAUGGCUGCUUCUCCUCCUCCUCCUCCCAAGGAAUCCAUCCUGCUUCCCUCUAGCUAUGUCUGCUUUAGAAAUAGAUCAGCACAACAGAAACCCAGCUCUGAUUCUCCACACCUUCCCUGCACUGCCUCAGCACUUAGGAACCUGCUUGUUUUAUUCAUUCCCCUUACACCUCCACUAUGUUU